UACGGAGGGUGCAAGCGUUAUCCGGAUUUACUGGGUUUAAAGGGUGCGUAGGUGGGUCUGUAAGUCAGUGGUGAAAUCUCCGAGCUUAACUCGGAAACUGCCAUUGAUACUAUAGGUCUUGAAUUAUCUGGAGGUAAGCGGAAUAUGUCAUGUAGCGGUGAAAUGCUUAGAGAUGACAUAGAACACCUAUUGCGAAGGCAGCUUACUACGCCUAUAUUGACGCUGAGGCACGAAAGCGUGGGGAUCAAACAGG
rnacentral:rRNA from 1 species